rnacentral:rRNA from 1 species
UACGAAGGGGGCUAGCGUUGUUCGGAAUCACUGGGCGAAAGCGCACGUAGGCGGAUCUUUUAAGUCAGGGGUGAAAUCCCGAGGCUCAACCUCGGAACUGCCUUUGAUACUGGGGAUCUCGAGUCCGGGAGAGGUGAGUGGAACUGCGAGUGUAGAGGUGAAAUGCGUAGAUAUCUGGAGGAAUACCGGUGGCGAAGGCGGCAUCCUGGACCGGCAUUGACGCUGAUGAGCGAAAGCUAAGGGGAGCAAACGGGG